rnacentral:tRNA from 3 species
AGGAGCGUAGCUCAGGGGUAGAGCACUUGCUUGACAUGCAAGGGGUCAGCAGUUCAAAGCUGCUCGUUCCUACCA